rnacentral:tRNA from 1 species
GGAAAUGUGCCUGAGUAAAAGGAACGCCCUGAUGCGGCGCCCACAGAGGUCACACCCCCCUCUCAUUUCCAU